CUUUCAAGCCAUCAAGUGUUCUUUCAGAGUCCUUAGGGGAGAAAUGUGGGAUAUAUGCGAACAAACCAAUGUAUGCCUGCAAAUCAGUUCAAGACUUUUGGGGAAUGCAGCAUGCAUAGCACUUUCCUUCAGCAACAACAACAACAACAACAACAACAACAACAACAACAACAACAACAACAAAUGACUUUGGGACUUAAGAGGAAUGACUGGAGGACCAAGACAGUCAUUUCUUCACUAAUAAUGGGGACAAAUUAAUGAAAAAUUUCAGAUAAGAAAAGAAUGCUCCAGUUCGAAGAAAGUGGAAUAUCUGUUUCUCCUCUCCCCCCCCCCCCCCCAAUUGCUGAAGAGUUCUGGGGAACUCAAAGGCUUGGCCAUUGUUGACAUAUCUAUUGAUACUAAUAAAGAGCAUUGUUUUACCCA